ensembl:lncRNA
CAACGCAGCAACACGUAUUCCUUUUCUCUCUGCUCCCGAUACCUUUUUGGGAAGCUUGGCAAAUUCUUUACAAAACACUUCCUUGAGCCAGGAGCUGAGAUGUUGCAUACACAGAAACAAGAGAGCUCUUGGGAGCACCUAAUUGAGUCGGACAGGAAUGGGAAGCAGUGAUGUAACACAAAGCCAGUGCAGAAUGGAGCAAAAAGCAACAGCUUCUACAGACCCACUCCUUCUGUGCUGCGUAUAUAUUUACUCCUAAUUUCAGCAGAAGCUUUCAGCACAACGUUUAUCUGCAGAUGAAGGAUCACCAAAUGCUUACAACUGAAGGAAAUGAACAUCAAAGGUAUCCAGUAAAUUAUUUUGGGAGUUGGAUUUUUCACAGAGCAAGUCUCACUUUUUGUAAGUUCUGUUUUCUAUAAAAAAAAAAUACAGUUUAUGUAUGGUUUGAAGACAGAAUCUAGCUGUGCAUUACGGUGGGCUCUGGUUUGUAUGUCUGACAGCUGAGCUGUAAGUGAACGUGACAGCUUUGUGGCCAAAAGGAAGUCCCGAGACUCAGCUUCCAGAACUCAGGUUCAGUGAAGUGAGAGAGGAUCUUGUUUUUCUUUCUUGCGUGUGUGUGGAGGUGUUUACACCAGAGUACGAUCAAAAUAGCCGACUACAAGGAUGUGUUGAAGUCAAACUCGCAGACCGUUUUAUUCCCAGUCACACCACUUGUAACAAGAGAGAUGAUAUUUCUAGAAAAGGAGGAAUGUAUACUUGAAGGGAGAAGAGUUAGAAGAUAACUGGAGCCAAACAGUAGAAACCCACAAGAGCUGCACUGGUUCAGCCAUUGUGUGGUCAGUGGUCACCAACCACAAGAUAUAUAUUUUUCAUUCCUCUUUAUUGUAGCAGAAUUUGAACAUGACUUAAGGAAGAACUAAGGUUUCUUGGGGCUUUACGUACAAAACCUUUGUGUUAUCUUUUUCUGUAAAGCAAAAUUAUUUUUAGAAUUUAAAUUAAAAAUAAGUAAAUAAAUACCAUUUGCUUAUGCUUUUCCUGCUCUUUGAAAGGCCGUAUAGCCUCUGAGAGAAUUUUCCCUUCCCUUCCCUUCCCUUCCCUUCCCUUCCCUUCCCUUCCCUUCCCUUCCCUUCCC